GACAGCAGUAGCCGCGGGAAUACGUAGGUCCCGAGCGUUGUCCGGAUUUAUUGGGCGUAAAGCGAGCGCAGGCGGUUAGAUAAGUCUGAAGUUAAAGGCUGUGGCUUAACCAUAGUACGCUUUGGAAACUGUUUAACUUGAGUGCAAGAGGGGAGAGUGGAAUUCCAUGUGUAGCGGUGAAAUGCGUAGAUAUAUGGAGGAACACCGGUGGCGAAAGCGGCUCUCUGGCUUGUAACUGACGCUGAGGCUCGAAAGCGUGGGGAGCAAACAGGAUUAGAUACCCCAGUAGUCCCUGUCUCUUAUACA
rnacentral:rRNA from 1 species